UGGGGAAUAUUGGACAAUGGGCGCAAGCCUGAUCCAGCCAUGCCGCGUGUGUGAAGAAGGCCUUCGGGUUGUAAAGCACUUUCAGUUGGGAGGAAGGGUUGUGUGUUAAUAGUACACAGCCUUGACGUUACCAACAGAAGAAGCACCGGCUAACUCUGUGCCAGCAGCCGCGGUAAUACAGAGGGUGCAAGCGUUAAUCGGAAUUACUGGGCGUAAAGCGCACGUAGGCGGUUUUUUAAGUCAGAUGUGAAAGCCCCGGGCUCAACCUGGGAAUUGCAUUUGAAACUGGAAAACUAGAGUGUGUGAGAGGGGGGUAGAAUUCCAAGUGUAGCGGUGAAAUGCGUAGAGAUCUGGAGGAAUACCGAUGGCGAAGGCAGCCAUCUGGCCUAAUACUGACGCU
rnacentral:rRNA from 1 species